UUUCCGUAGGUGAACCUGCGGAAGGAUCAUUAAUGUGUUUGGGCCUCACGGCUCUUCAUUCCGACGCUGUGCGCCUUCGGGCUGCACGCUGAGGGAGCAUAUAUCCACCCCUGUGCACACACACGGUGGCGAGCUGGGUAACGGCUCGCCGCUGAUCUUUACACACGUCUAAAAGUCAUUGUAUGUUUAUUUGAGAUAAAAACACAACUUUCAGCAACGGAUCUCUUGGCUCUCGCAUCGAUAUAGAACGCAGC
rnacentral:misc_RNA from 1 species